AGUCAAGCAAAUCCGUUCUCAGGACAACCUGGCCGAUCUCUUCACCAAGUCAUUGCCCAAGUCUAAUUUUCAGAAGCUCGUCCAAGAAAUAGGUAUGCUUAAAUUAUCUAAGUUAAAUUGCUUGUAGUUCUCUUAUUUGGAAGCUAUGUCUAACUCAGAGGGAGUAUCCAGAAGCAUACUCAUGUGAUCUUAAUGAACUUUUUUUCCCACGAUUAGGAGCAUUUUUCCCACUAGGUUUUUGCUACCUAAUAAGGUUUUGAUGAGGCACCCAUUCUGGGAUGAUCAUACUUCGUUGAGUUCACUACUUUCGUCCUGUUUGAUGUUUGUUUUAGACAUUAUGCAUAUUUCUCACCUUCUCCUUAGUUUAUGGGGUUUUACCUACCUUAGGUUUUAGCAAGGUUAUGUGAGUUUUUCCAUCAAUGCAUAGUUUCUUUAAAUUUGAGACUCAUAUUCGUCUGUUGUGUCGACGACUUCAUCAACCGUUCUACCUCAACUGCUAAAGACAUGAUGCGAAGUUUUGUUUGAGUAAUUACACACUCAAGGAGAAGUGUUGCAUUCUUAUUAGAUUAGGAAUAUGAUCAUGUAAAUCCUAGUGUAUUUAGGAUAUCUUAGAAUAUUCCCUUUAGUAGAUAUUAUCAUAUUAGAGUUGUAAUCCUAUUAGGGUAAGGCUUUAACCUAUCCUACUACUAUAAAUAAAGGCACAAUAGAGUGAUACAACACAGACCUCAUAAUUACAUCUCUCUUUCUUGUCGCCGGCCCUCUCCCUCUAGUUCUAAAUACAUUUAAGUUAAUUAGGCUUGCAACAGUUUUGGGUUUUUUUUUUUCCGUUUGUUUUUUGGGUCUUUUAUGUUGUAUGUAAUUGGGCCUCAUCUUGUGUAAUUUUGUUGUGUUGUUACUUGUUAAUGAAGUUUCUUUGACCAAAAAAAAAAAGGCCUGAUUUGGCCAUAUUUCACUUAAUUAGAAAACAUGAUUUGGAAAAGUUCAAAUACAGACCGCAUAUUAUAGGUAUUUUAAUUGAAAAACAUGAUUCUACUUAAUCAUUAUUAUCUUGACUCAUUUUAAUCCAUUUUCACAUUCUAUCCACCUUAAAAAAUCAUGUCUCAAUAACCUUUUUUUCAUAUGAUAUAAGAAGUACUUAAUAAAUGCAAAGAGUAAACUUAAAACUAAUAAAUUAUUAAGGGGCUAUAUUUAGCCCUUUUGGUUGGAGAUGAUAUAUAAUAUGGCCUAGUAUUGUUCAUUAAAAAAUAAUUUUUUACAGGGCUAUAAUUCUAGACGGAGCUAUAUAUAGCCCUUUCAGUUGGAGAUGACAUUCAUUUACUAAACUAGUGAGGUUAUUUUUGUUAAAUUAGAGGGAAUCGAACCCUAAACUCACACUAAUUAUAACCCAUUGUAGUCAUCCCUCCCUAUCGAUCUAAAGAAAGAAAGAAAGAAAGCUUUACAAUGACCACUAUUCUAAAAAUUCCUGUCUAGAUGUUAGGUGGCUAACCACUGUUCUGAUUAGUCCCUAGGCGUUUGAAAAUUAAGAAAUUAUGUCUAGACCCGCUUAGGCAUCUGCCUAGCCCAUAUAAACCUGCCUAGACAUCCGCUUAGGUCGCGAUUCUGAUUUAGAUAGAAGAUCUAUAACUUUCAUUUUGCAUUAUAAUUUCUCAAUAAAAUGUAAGAGACUUGUUGAAUACUUGCAAGAACACUCAUUAUAUGCUUGUUCCCUCUGUUUCAAUAUAUUUUAACACUUUAUAAUUUAUUUCAUUUUAUUUUGCAAUUUAUGUAUCCCAAUAUGAUUAUGCAUGUGUUUUUAAGUAUAAACAGACACUUAUUUAUACAAUAUAUAAUAAAUGUACUUCUCGUGGAUGUCAAAUUCGAUACCAAAUUAGGUUGCCCAUUGUGUGGCUUUAGCCGAACUCCCCCUCCCCUUAGUGUAAAAUAUAUCGUUGUACUAAAAAAA
rnacentral:lncRNA from 1 species